GAUGAACGCUGGCGGCGUGCCUAAUACAUGCAAGUCGAGCGAAUGGAUUAAGAGCUUGCUCUUAUGAAGUUAGCGGCGGACGGGUGAGUAACACGUGGGUAACCUGCCCAUAAGACUGGGAUAACUCCGGGAAACCGGGGUUAAUACCGGAUAAUAUUUUGAACUGCAUGGUUCAAAAUUGAAAGGCGGCUUCGGCUGUCAAUUAUGGAUGGACCCGCUUCUCAUUAGCUAGUUGGGGAGGUAGAGGCUCACCAAGGCAACGUUGCGUAGCCGACCUGGGAGGUUGAUCGGCCACACUGGGACUGAGACACGGCCCAGACUCCUACGGGAGGCAGCAUUAGGGAAUCUUCCGAAAUGGACGAAAGUCUGACGGAGCAACGCCGCGUGAGUGAUGAAGGCUUUCGGGUCGUAAAACUCUGUUGUUAGGGAAGAACAAGUGCUAUUUGAAUAAGCUGGCACCUUGACGGUACCUAACCAGAAAGCCACGGCUAACUACGUGCCAGCAGCCGCCGUAA
rnacentral:rRNA from 1 species